CAAGCCCCUCAAAGCUCAGGAGUUUUAGCUCACAAGCUGUCUGCAUGUCUUGCAAGUUUGCUUCUGUCUGCAAACCUAAAAGCGCUCAACAGGCUGACACGGAAGGGAUUGCCUAGAGGAAAUGUGAAUAUUUCAACAGUGAACCACUGGGAAACUUCCACAGUUGAAAAGAAAGGCAUUGAAUAAUUCUUUUCAGGGGUGGAAGCAAGUGAUUCUCACUUCAGAGAAGAAGGGGGCAUGGCUUGGAGUGGAGAAAAAAAGUGGGGCAUGAAGAAUCUGCUGACACUUUGUCCUUUUCCAUGGGAGAUCUCUCCUUGAGUGUCCCCUUGCCAAGAGCUGGGCCUCGUCAAGCUUCAGAUCACUCAGAUGUAGAAACAAUUCAGGACUUCCUUUAA
rnacentral:lncRNA from 1 species